rnacentral:rRNA from 1 species
AUUGAACGCUGGCGGCAGGCCUAACACAUGCAAGUCGAACGAGUGGCGGACGGGUGAGUAAUGUCUGGGAACCUGCCCGAUGGAGGGGGAUAACUACUGGAAACGGUAGCUAAUACCGCAUACCAUCGGAUGUGCCCAGAUGGGAUUAGCUAGUAGGUGGGGUAACGGCUCACCUAGGCGACGAUCCCUAGCUGGUCUGAGAGGAUGACCAGACACACUGGAACUGAGACACGGGCCAGACUCCUACGGGAGGCAGGAGUGGGGAAUAUUGCACAAUGGGCGCAAGCCUGAUGCAGCCAGGCCGCGUGUAUGAAGAAGGCCUUGGGGGUGUAAAGUACUUUCAGCGAGGAGGCGUUACUCGCAGAAGAAGCACCGGCUAACUCCGUGCCAGCAGCCGCGGUAAGAC